AUACGGAGGGGGUUAGCGUUGUUCGGAAUUACUGGGCGUAAAGCGCACGUAGGCGGAUUGGAAAGUUGGGGGUGAAAUCCCAGGGCUCAACCCUGGAACUGCCACCAAAACUAACAGUCUAGAGUUCGAGAGAGGUGAGUGGAAUUCCAAGUGUAGAGGUGAAAUUCGUAGAUAUUUGGAGGAACACCAGUGGCGAAGGCGGCUCGCUGGCUCGAUACUGACGCUGAGGUGCGAAAGCGUGGGGAGCAAACAGGAUUAGAUACCCUAGUAGUCC
rnacentral:rRNA from 1 species